CUUUUUAUUGACAAAAGGUUUUACAUAAGAUAGAAUAACUAAAUGAUUAAAUUGUGUUUUAAACUAAAAUAACUAAAUAAUUAUUAAGUUAUUAGAUCUAAAUUAAAUUAUGCUGGGUCCACUUAAAAUUUUUAUUGAUUAAUAGGAUAACAAAAAUACCUGUUUUUUAUGAUAUAGGCAGUACCUUAAAGUACUCUGUAUUUUAGGUGUAAAGAAUCAGAUUCUCCUCAUGCUGUUACUGUAUAUAUGCUUGAGCCUCACUCCUGCCAGUAUAUUCUUGGGGUUGAAUCUCCAGUAAUCUGUAAAAUUCUAGAUACAGCUGAUGAAAAUGGACUUCUUUCUCUCCCCAAUUAAAGGAUAUUAAACUUGAAGGAAAGAAAGAUGAUUGAAAAUCAUCACUUCCUCCUGACCACAUCUCAUUGUAGAGUCUCACCAUUGGACCUUGUCUAUAGCAUUCACAAAAAAGGACUGGCAACCACACUGUGAAAUUCAUGUGUAUAUAAGAGAUUAUGGAUAAACUUAUAAGGC
rnacentral:lncRNA from 1 species